rnacentral:lncRNA from 1 species
UGGCUAUUUUAGACCUACUGGAAAUAAGAUCUUGAUUAUAAGGACUUUAAAAUGACAUGUGAGGGAGGACAGGAGCAUGGUAGUUUGAUCACAGUGCUGUAUCCCGAAGCUCGGGAGGAUGAGGCCAAAUGUUAAGACUCACUACUUACUUCUCUCUCUCACUUGAACGCUUGCCCUGGCUGUGUGCUGCUAGGGGUGGGAUGGGAUGGAAGUGCCAGUUUUUGGGAGGCAGUUUGCGUUUCCUGCUAAGGUUUUAGAAAGCAGAAUGUUUGUGUUUUCUGAAGCAGUUACCUCGAUAGAUAAUGACCAGGCCUCACCCAACUAAAACGUCCCCAUGCUUUAGCAACUGCCUUCCACUGCUAGCAAAUGAUGAAUUGAGUAAUCUAUGGUGCGGUGCUCCUGGCUGCGAGGUUGUAAAUGGCAUGCGUGUGGCUCCAGAAAUAUGAGAUCUCACAUUGGUUUUUAAAGAACUGCAGCAACAGUAACGCUGAUUAUAUCUUCUUCUCCCAGGGAAAACGUGCUGAACUGAAGUCUGCUCCAGACAGGCCCAUGUAUCAGUAGGUGAUGAGCGUGUGCGUCUGACAGCAGAUGCUUCCCUUUAAGGGCUGCUGAGCUGAGAGAAAUACUUCUUCCUGAGACAUUUUGCAGGUGGAAAGAGUCAAAAACCUUCGGCAUGACUGGGCCAGGCGUCCUGACUGGGCCAGGCAUCAGUAUGACAAAAACGUAUCUCCAGGCCCAUGCAGACGCAGACUUGGAGUGCUGCAGACAUGGACUACACCAGUUCAGGGAUCCAGGACUUUACUUUUCUCCUUCCCGCCCUUCCCCUUCACUGAUGCCGAACAUAAAAUGCGGGUAGUGUGCGCUUGUCCUGAUACAUGCAGGUUACACGCUCUCUGCCCUUGCUGUG